UCUUAACUUUUGUACUAACUCUCAACUUGAUAUCACUUUUACUGUAUCUCUCUCUCAAGUAGAUAACAUCACUCCUAUACUGUGCAAUCUCUCUCCUAACGUGGGGCUCACAAAACAUUAGCAGAAGCAUAGCAAGAACAAAUAUAGACACACAUCACAGCCUCGCCAAAAACACCUUGAUAUCCAGACAGUAUGAAACAGAAUAAACAGGAUAAAUAAAAUGACUAGCUAAAUGAACAUGACUAGCUUUGUGAAUGUAUGAGUUGUUGUCUUUUGAAUCUGUGGAGAGUAAGAAUGUUACAGAUAAGGGCAAUGAACCUCAGAGAGUAGACCGAACAGAGAAAACAAUGGAGAUUCUGCCUGGUAAUAAAAUGAUUGAAGUAACCGAGAAAGAAGAAAAAUGAGAAAAAAAGGCAGAUACGACUAGAAAAAUAUAACUAACUUUCUUUUUCCUUCUUUACAAACAGGAUAGUUACAAAUGGUUAUACACAAACACAGAUUAUUAAUAUCUUCAAGACCAUGGACCGUAUUCUCAAACAUUUCGGGACUCACACACACACAUUUGAUAAGGCUUUCAUAGAGGCUGCGUUAGUGUUUCCAUGGGUAGUUUUAUGAGCCUAGUGAUAGUUUGACAAGGCUUCUGCACUGUGAAUAUAAAAAAAACACUUGUGAGAACCUGACUAAUCUCCUUUGUGGCCUUGGGAAACAGUUGUGAGAGCCGAAAGCAUGUGAGAGUACGUGCCUUGAUCUCUCCCUCGGUACUGGACUGCAGAAGCUACGUAACACUGGACUGGAUUCACGCAUUGACCUCCCUUAAAACAUGGGGGGAAACGCAAGUCAGGAGGGCAUGGGGGGAAGGGAGGGAGGGGUAGCAACAGACCUUGGCACCAGAAAGCGAGAAAGUGCUAGAGAAACUUACCUUAGUUGAGCAUAAAUCAAACAAGGCCUUUUUACUGUACCCAAAUAUAAAAAGAGGAAAUACAAAGACAGAGAUGAGGUAGUACAGUCUAACUCUAAGGACUGGCCAAAGACAAGGUGUAGAAGAUCCAUAAAUGGAAUACUCAGAUAAGGAUGCAGCAUACACUAAAUCUUCUACUUAUAAAUAACAUGCAGAUAAAUAAGUUAGGUUAGGUUAGGUUAAGUGUGUGCUCCUUCCCCGGGCAUAGAAAAUACAGGCAGGGAAAUAAGGAAGGAAGGAAGGAAGGAAGGUUUGAAGAUGGAAUGGAUGGAAUGGAAUGAAUGAUAGAAAGGAAGGAAGGCAGGAAGGAAGGAAUGAGAGGAUGGAAAGAUGGAAGAGGAUGAAAGGAAGGAAAGAAAUGAAGGAAGAAAACUGAUGAUAGGUUGACAAAUAUAGGGAAAUAACAGAAGAAAGGAAGGAAGGAAGGAAGGAAGGAGAUAAGGAAGAUACGCAAGAGGGAAAAAGAAGUGAUAGAUGGACUAAUACAGAUGGAAAUAAGGAAAGGAAGGGAAGACAAAAGGAGGGAACAGAAUGGAAGAAAUGAAAGAAGAGGCGAAAAAAAAAAACUUGCCAAUACAAAACCACCAACAAGGAUGCGAAAACAAACACACAAACAAACAGACUUAUCCUCCGCUACGACCUUACGGAUGAAUCAACACACACAAACACACCUUUCUCAACUCCGCCUUCCGUUCGGUGAGACUGAGAAACAUCGAUCUGACUAACACGCAAAGCAAUGUUGACCGAGCCGAUAUAUAUUCGUUCCUUUUUUUUUCCACCAUGCCGAUGAUAACGCACAAACACAUCAUCUAUUUUGUUGUUUCCUUAUCAUGGGGUUGGAUGUUUGAAGACUGCCCUUGAACUCUCUCGAUCAAGUGCUUCCUCCUCCUACAUAUGAGAGCAGCAAGGUCCUUCAUUUUUGUUGUUUCUUUAUCAUGGGGUUGGAUGUUUGAAGACCGCCCUUGAACUCUCUCAAUCAAGUGCUUCCUCUUCCUUUAUAUGAGAGCAGCAAGGUCCUUCUCAUACACGAAUACCGAGACAAAUCAGUUUUUCUUCUGCACACUUUCCUACAAACACAAAAAUAGUCGUAAUUCUCUCUCUUGCGUUCUUUUCCAUUUUGCAUAUCUUUCUCUUCCUUCUUCCUCAUCCUCCUUGCUAUUCUUUCUGUUCCUUCCUCCUUCUUCUUUCCUGUGUUUUCUAUUUCUUCCUCAGCCUCUUCCUUCUUCCUCAUCCUCCUUGCUCUAUUUCUGUUCCUUCCUGUUUUUUCUAUUUCUUCCUCAACCUCUUUUCUGUUUUCUAUUCCUUCUUUCCUGUUCUUUCUACUCCUUCUUGUUCUUCCUUCUGUUCCAACACUAGGAUCAGUUUGUACGUGGCUUCUAAUGCUUAUGCUAUCGCCGACAUCUCACUAAAUUAAACUUAAACGAAUCACCCCCACAAAUAUAGCCAUUGUAGCUCUCUCGUGUUCUUUUCUCUUCAAAAGAUCAGACAUGAAGGGCGACCAACACUAGGCUCAGUCAGUACACGUAUUCUAACGCUUAUGCUAUCGCCGACAUCUCGCUAAAAUUAACUUAAACCGAAUCUUCUUCCUGAGAGGUGAGCUUGGCAACUUAUGAGCUAGGUGAGGUAACAUAUCACAGUGGGUUGGUAACAGUGGGUAAAAAGUCCUCUGUUGCGUUUCCUUAUAGUACCUGCCUUCUCUCCCUCUCCUUCUUCCUCUUGAGUCUUGGCGAGGGUGACACGACAAAAUGGGUGACGGUAAUAUUUCUUUAAACCAGCCGUGUCUCUUCCUGUUCCUGUUCCUCCUUUGCAUCUUCUUCCUCUUCCUUCUGUCUCCUCCUCCUCCUCCUGAGUCUCCUGUUAGCACAUGAUAUUGGGUAAGAGGUGGUUUCUUUUGCAUCCUCUUCUUUCCUGAUCUUUCUCUUCCUUCCUCCUCCUCCACGUUCUUUCCUCUUCCUCCUUCCUCCUGUUCUUUCCAUUCCUUCUUCCUCCUCGUCCUGUUCUCCUUAUCCUUCUUCCUCAUCCCCCUUCCCAUUCCUCUGUUCCUUCUUCCUCCACCUUGCUGUUCUUCUCUCUAUUUCUUCUUCCUCCUCCUCCUUCCUGUUCUCUUUGGUUGGUAUUAUAAGACACGUCCGCUUCUCACAUCAGCUAUUUCUAGAGGUCAAAGAGGGGGUCAGUCGGGUUCUAAUGAGUGUUUCUUCAGGUUCAUGGUACAGGUGAAGGGUCAAACUACCACCAGGGCCAUAAAACUACAACUGGAAAUGCCCACAACUCUUACGAAAGUCUUGCCAAAUAUACUGAGCAGCGAAAUGUCUUAUAAUACGACCGUUUAUUUCUUCCUCCUCCUCCUCCUCCUCCUUUUACUUCCCACUCUUCUUUCUGUUCCUUCUUCCUGCUCCUCCUUGAUGCUCUUUCUAUUCUAUUCCUUCUUCCUUCUCCUUCCUCCUACUCCUCCUCCUCUUGAAUCUUCCGAGGUGAGCUUAGGAGUGGCAAGGUGAGGCACGGCAUAAAGGAGUCCAGGAUAAACACUCCUUCAAUCUGUCUCUGCCUCCUACUUUUCCUGGCUGCACUCUUACUUCAUCCUGCCUUCUCUCUGUGCGUCCUUGCUGUCCCACUUGUUGGCUUGUGGUAUUGCUGGUGUUGGUCUGGUAAUGUUGUGGAGGUUGGAUGCUGUGUUCCGAUUCUUUGGUGUUUGUAUGUCUCAAAGGAUCGUUCUCUUCAUAUGAGGAGGCUGUGGUCUUGGUUGGUUCUUGCUGUGGUACUUAUUGGCUUGUGGUAUCGUUAAUGUCCCUCUGGUAAUGCUGUGGAGGCCAGAAGCUGUUUGCACUCUCAGUUGGGUUCCUGUCUGUCAGAAAGGAGGCUGUCUGAGGAAGCUGUGGUCUUGGUAGGUCCUUGCUGUGUUUCUUCUUGGCUUGAGGUAAUACUUAAGUCCCUCUGGUAAUGCUGUGGAGGCUGGAGGCUGUGUUUCUCAGUUAAGCUCUUGUCUGACUGAAUCUCUUCUCUUUGUCUGUGAGGAGGCUGUGCUUUUGCUGUGGUUAGCCUUCUUGCAGUGCUGUGAGGGUUGCCUGCUGUGUCUGUCUCUUUUCACCUUCUUGUUUGUCUGUGAGGAGGCUGUGAUAACGCUGUGGCCAGACUUCUUGUAGCUGAUGUGUCUCUUUGUCUGUUGAGGUGAUAUCCCCCGUCCUUCCUCACUCUUGGUCUGUGAAACUGUCCUGAUCGUCUGUGAAGAGGCUGUGGUCAGGAUGGGUCGUUGCCGUGGUCCAUACUGUGUAGUUCUGUGUUCCUCGAAAAGUGCUGUGAAGGGCAGAUGAUGUAUUUGUGUCCCAGGCCAUGUUGCUGUGAAGGCCUGUGUUUGUGUUCCUCGUAAUGUUGCUGUGAGGGAGGGAGGCUGUGUUUCUGUCCCUCAUGGUGCUGCUGUGAGGGAGGAAUGCUGUGUUUCUGGUCACUGUCAUGUUGCUGUGUAGAGUUGAUGCUGUGUUUCUGUUGCAGGUCAUGUUGCUGCAAAGGCUGGAUGCUGUGUUUCUGUUGGAGGUCAUGUUGCUGUGUUGGUUGGGUGCUGUGUUUGUCCCCCUCAUCAUGUCGCUGUGAAGGCCAGAUGCUGUGUUUCUGUCCCUCAUCAAGUCGCUGUUAUGGCCAUGUACUGUGUUUGUGUUCCAGGCCAUGUUGCUGUGUUGGUUGGAUGCUGUGUUUGUCCCCCUCAUCAUGUUGCUGUGAAGGCCAGAUGCUGUGUUUCUGUCCCUCAUCAAGUCGCUGUUAUGGCCAUGUGCUGUGUUUGUGUUCCAGGCCAUGUUGCUGUGUUGGUUGGAUGCUGUGUUUGUCCCCCUCAUCAUGUUGCUGUGAAGGCCAGAUGCUGUGUUUCUGUCCCUCAUCAGGUCACUGUGAUGGCCAUAUCCUGUGUUUGUGUUCCAAGUCAUGUUGUUGUGUUGGUAGGAUGCUGUGUUUGUCCCCCUCAUCAUGUUGCUGUUCACACUGGAUGCUGUGCUUUCUGCUGUAUGUCUAUUUACGCUGUUCACCUGUGCGGGACUGUCCCUCACCAUAUUAUGCACUGGGAUGGCCAAGUCCUGAUCGGCAUUAGACAGCGGGGCAAUGACCACCCUCCCACUGGCUGUCUUCUUGAUCCUGAGGGAGGUGCUGUUGUUUAUGAGCCUCUUGGCGAAUGGUAGACAGCCACUCUUGCUUAGGGAGUAUGUGCUGCAGGGUUGAGUAGGGUGGUUCAGGUGGCUCACUCUCUCACAGGAAGGAGCAGGUGUGGGAGUAGGAGGAAUAUAAAGAGGAGCAUGGACUACCGUGUUUGUGUUUGAGAUUAAUGUGUCUUUGGUAGUCUGUGGGUGCUGGCUGGAGGAGAAGUAAGAGGAGGAGGAGGAGGAGGAGGAGGAGGGGGUAACUGCAGCUGUACCCUUCAUUCCUUCCUUAACUGGGUAGCUGAGGCAAGGCUUGAAGGCAGUCCUCCCCACACCUACACUGUUCAAUUUGGCUGUUGCUGGAGGGGCACUCUCUUGUGACCGUGUGUUGUGCUGUAUUCUUCCUGCUGUGAUUUUCAACCUUGCAUUUACCCCUGUGGCCUUCUGCAGUGUUGUGGCAUAGCUUAGAUGCUGUGUGGAUCCUGCUACAGCACUUCCUGACAUUGUUUCUUGGCUCAUUGGCUGUGUGGUGAGUGCUGUGGGGCUGCUCAAUGCUGUUCCAUGCAUACGUUGCUGUGUGGCUGUUUUUUGGUUGUGCUGCUGUGUCUGUGGUUCACACUCCCCUGAGCUGUGUCUGGUGGGGUGUGGGGUGCUGUGUCUUGGGGUUGGGGCACUAACCAGCAUUUUGAAGAUAUCCUCUAAAGGGAGUUCACUGGGAAAUGGACGAGUGGGCCGUGUGUUCAAUAGGUCAAGUCUGUCCUCAUUCAUUUCACUGUUAUAAUAAAAUGCCACUAACUCCUCCUCCUCCUCCUCCUCCUCCCCCUUUUCCUCUUCUUUCAUCAGGUCCUCAGGCAUUAACAGCUUCUCUUUCACAUCCUCUAUAAGCUCCAACUCCAACUCCUCAUCCUCAUUUUUCACCUCUUCUGUGCUUGAGGAACAGCCUGUAUUGAGGUCCAUGUCCUGAGGAAUAUCACAUCCCUUCUCUGGCUUCAAACCCAUCCAUAACAUGGAACACAAGCCACACAUCAGCCCGUCACACUCGUGGACAAAGUGAUCACUCCACUUCAUCUCGUCCUCGGGGAAGCUCACCAACAUGGCAUAAGACUUGCUGGCGCUGUUGAUCUGCUGUUCCUCCUCUUUGGAAAUAGAAACGCUGUGCACCACGGGCCUGCCCUCCCCCUCCCAUGUAUUCUGAAAUGUGAAAUAGAGCUGGUCCAUGACAGGAAAGUUUCCCUUUCCCUUCUCCACCUGCCUUGGCUUCUGCGGCUCUGUUUUGUCUGUGCCUGGUGGCGGAGCAUGGGCCACAUCUCUGUGUGUGUGUCCCCCUGCCUGAGGCCCUCCACCACAGCCUGGCUCUGCCGUGCUGACUGACACUGAGCCGCAGGGCCGAUGUGGCUGGACACAGUCUCCUGUAUCAGGGCGUCGGUGCCAGCUGCCGCCUGACUCACCUUGUGCUGCAUCAAGGCAGGUGUAGGGUGCAGGGCAUGGCCCCAAUAUGCUGGCACACCCCUCACCGCCCCUGCCAGCACUGGGAGCCCCGCCGGCCUCAGCGCACAGCCCAGUCCUGCCAUCUUCCACAUUCUUGGGGGGCACUUUGGCCACCAGUAGGGGCAGGUUGUCAUGCAGGCCUGUGUAAGCAUUGCAAGCAUGACUAUGCUGCAGGCCAGGAGUUCCAGCUUUUGGGUGCCCCCUGAGCAGCCCCAACUUGGGGUUACCUGUUGGGG